AGUGGCGGACGGGUGAGGAAUACAUCGGAAUCUACUUUUUCGUGGGGGAUAACGUAGGGAAACUUACGCUAAUACCGCAUACGACCUACGGGUGAAAGCAGGGGAUCUUCGGACCUUGCGCGAUUGAAUGAGCCGAUGUCGGAUUAGCUAGUUGGCGGGGUAAAGGCCCACCAAGGCGACGAUCCGUAGCUGGUCUGAGAGGAUGAUCAGCCACACUGGAACUGAGACACGGUCCAGACUCCUACGGGAGGCAGCAGUGGGGAAUAUUGGACAAUGGGCGCAAGCCUGAUCCAGCCAUACCGCGUGGGUGAAGAAGGCCUUCGGGUUGUAAAGCCCUUUUGUUGGGAAAGAAAUCCAGCUGGUUAAUACCCGGUUGGGAUGACGGUACCCAAAGAAUAAGCACCGGCUAACUUCGUGCCAGCAGCCGCGGUAAUACGAAGGGUGCAAGCGUUACUCGGAAUUACUGGGCGUAAAGCGUGCGUAGGUGGUCGUUUAAGUCCGUUGUGAAAGCCCUGGGCUCAACCUGGGAACUGCAGUGGAUACUGGGCGACUAGAGUGUGGUAGAGGGUAGCGGAAUUCCUGGUGUAGCAGUGAAAUGCGUAGAGAUCAGGAGGAACAUCCAUGGCGAAGGCAGCUACCUGGACCAACACUGACACUGAGGCACGAAAGCGUGGGGAGCAAACAGGAUUAG
rnacentral:rRNA from 1 species